AUACGGAGGGGACGAGCGUUAUUCGGAAUCACUGGGCGUAAAGGACGCGUAGGCGGGUUAUUAAGUCGGGUGUGAAAUCCAAUGGCUCAACCAUUGAACUGCAUUCGAAACUGAUAACCUAGAGUAUGGAAGGGGCAGGUGGAAUUAGUGGUGUAGGGGUAAAAUCCGUAGAUAUCACUAGGAAUACCGAAAGCGAAGGCGACCUGCUGGGACAUUACUGACGCUGAGGCGUGAAAGCGUGGGGAGCAAACAGGAUUAGAAACCCCGGUAGUCC
rnacentral:rRNA from 1 species